rnacentral:rRNA from 1 species
AGAGUUUGAUUCUGGGUCAGAUUGAACGCUGGCGGCAUGCCUUACACAUGCAAGUCGAACGGUAACAGGUCUUUCGGGAUGCUGACGAGUGGCGAACGGGUGAGUAAUACAUCGGAACGUGCCUAGUAGUGGGGGAUAACUACUCGAAAGAGUGGCUAAUACCGCAUGAGAUCUAUGGAUGAAAGCAGGGGACCUUCGGGCCUUGUGCUACUAGAGCGGCCGAUGGCAGAUUAGGUAGUUGGUGGGAUAAAAGCUUACCAAGCCGACGAUCUGUAGCUGGUCUGAGAGGACGACCAGCCACACUGGGACUGAGACACGGSCCCGACUCCUACGGG